UCAGCAUCUCAGAGACAGACUACAGCCUUGAAGACACCAUGUCCUCCCGAAGGAGGCUCAGCAGCACUCAUGUACAGGGGAAAAGCUGUCCCGUGGACCAAGGAUACAACCCUCAGCUGAGAACCACAGGCAGCACAGAAUAAACAGGGGAAGAAGAAUGCAAAGUUGCCCUAUAUUGGAAGACCUCCAGCCUGUGCUCUUGCCUUUGAACAUUGGUCCCAUUUCUUAAGCCUCUCAGUGAAGAUUCUCCAGCUUUCCAUUGUACACUUGCACCCGUGACUGCAUAGCCAACUUCCAAGCCUUUGAC
rnacentral:lncRNA from 1 species